rnacentral:lncRNA from 1 species
CCCUCUCAUGUGGACGCGGUGGCCGGUGGUGCUCUGCACUGUGAACUCGCUGUCUCCAUAUCUGUGGUCAUACAUUCCUGAGAGACAAUAGCUGAGGUCUCUCCCAAACAGGUCAGUGGUGAAGCCAUAGCCAUCACUGAGGCCACUGUAUUCUUCAUAGCCCCCAUAGCCUGCACUAUAGGCACCAGACCUCAUCCUAUCCAGACCUGCCUGUUUCACAAUGCCAAUGUACCUCCGGGCUGUGCCAGGCCUGUCAUAAGGCCCAGGCCUUUGCACAGACAUAAACUUCAGAGGUGGAUCUGAGUAUGAUCUAACUUCCUCCUGACUGCUCUUAAACACUUCAAUAUACCUGUGCCCUAUUCUCUCCUUGUGCUUCCCUAAAGCUUUCUCAGCUAACUCUUGUGAGGUAACAAGUUUUCCAGGGGAGGAAGGUAGAAGUGACUUCUAUAUUCAGUAAGGAACGCGGCUUACUAA